ACCUGGUAUUGCAGUACCUCCAGGAACGG
rnacentral:piRNA from 2 species